UAAUAAGGCAAAGGCUUCACUUGUCUUAUCCUAGAUCCGCCCUUGCGCCCUUACCUUCAACGCUAGCUCCGUCCCUGUCAGUCUUUAACUACUAAUGGAAGUGAAAAACACAAAUUCUACUCAAUCGGCGUAUGGGGAACCUCCCUGGAUUUUUAAAGGCAGUGCUUUAUACCAGCUUCAUCUUGUCAAAGCAGAGACUGCUCGAACUUUCGUUCCCAAAGACUGCAGACUAGUUGAGGCAUUUGGAUAUACUCUUGGCGGGUUCUUUCUUGCUAGCUAUGAUGACAGUCCUGCUGGAUUCUUCGACGAGUUGGUGGUGAUUGCAGGACUAGUAUGGAAUCCACCUACAUCUUGUGCAUGGGCUGCCAGGGUGCUGGUGGAUAGUGAUGAGGCAUGCCUUCAUGGGCGGAAGGUUGUAGGUCUUCCAAGUCAAGUUGCCAGGUUUUCAAAGAAAAUUACAGCACUUCCACAGACACCGAAAAGUAAAACAAGUAGUGUUCUAAGCACUGUUGGCUUGAGGACAUCUUCUGCUAGCUAUAGGAAUCACAUGGACAUAGAAGUAACGGAAAUCAAGAAGCAGAGAGCAAUAAAUAUCUGCAAUAUCAACCUUAAUACCGCUGUUCCUCAGCAAGAGUCUAAGGAAUGGAUGGGUCCUCUUAUCAAAAUGUCACUCCCAAACUUUAGCGGACGGACAAAGUACAAUUCUGAUCUCCUGAAGUACUCUUGCCAGAUUGAGUGCAGGGUAAGACCAGUGCGACCAGCAAAAGUCUUGGGACCAUUUGCAUUGGAUGCAGACAAGGAAAAUUCAUCUGAAAAUCAGAGCUUGAAUGUGGAAUCACUGGGCAGAGUGCCUACUGGGACCAAGAGAAAUUUCAGCAUAUCCGUGAUGCUGUCCAAGCCGAUUCUGGCUUUAGAAUUCAAUCAUCUGAAAAUGAAAGUUGAAGCUCCCACUACAGUUACCACACGCUCUCAGAAUACUAUUUGACAAUGAUCUUACACUAUGUGCAGUAAUUUAACAUUCUAGUACAACCAGAGGUCAUUUGGUAAUAUUGGACUACAAUUUCACAAAACACCCAAGUACAAAGGCAACAUGAUGCUGAACCGAUCAAAGAAUCAGAUUGCUUCAGGCAAGGGCUUGCCCUCCAAAAAUGACUUGAAUAGCACGAGCGAUCUCUCUGAUUGAGAGAAUGGAGCAUCAUGAGACGCGCCUCUUAUCUGUUGGGGAGUUAAACCCAAAGGAGGGAAGUGGAGAGAGUAUUUUUGAAGUCUCUUUGAAAUUGCAUUAGAAAAGCUAAAGUACAGGCCUUUUAAAUAGGCUUACAACAGUAUGAGGAAACGAUUACAUACCUGCAUCCCAGCAAACCAAAAUACUCUGUGUGGUGCGAUUGUGCUCAGUCCUAGGUUUUUAUGGACCAAUGUUCGGCUUCCAGUAAGAGGAAUCACAGAAUCCUGAUCCCCAAUGUAAACCCAGACAGGUAUUCCAUAUCACCCGCAGUAGAGAAUGUUGGUGUCUCAAGAUCAAGCUCAUAAUCCAGUGCACUGAAAUCAAAAUUCACUUUUCAGGCUGAGUAGAAUAGAAGGAGAAUAAUUACUUGCUGCAAACAAGCUAUCUGUUAAGCCCUACAAGACUGAACAUCCCUUCUGUUGUUAGAAGAUUUUAUGAUAAAGCUACGGAACGAAUAGAAAUGCCUAAGGCGACUACAGGAGGAUUGACAACUUUGGAUUGCGAGAUGAUAUACCGACAUAUCAUCAUAUCAUCAUCAUGCUAUACUAAAAAUAGGAAAGCCCUAUGUCAAAACUUGAAUUACUAAAUUACCCAUCAAAAACUAAUUAACUAUUUU